UCUCUUUUCUUCAAUUUCUCUCUCUCUUUGUUCUUCUUUUUAUUAUUUUUCCUCUCUCUUUUUUUUUUUUUUUUUUUGGGAAAUGAGAUUGAAUUACAGUCAUAAUUUGCUUGUGCGGCAUCAUCAAGAUUCACAACAAAAUAAGAAUAAGAAAAAAAGGAAACCCUAAUUUUAUUUUUUGAGGAUUGAUUUGUUUUGAGGAUGAUUUUGAUUGAGAAUCUUGAUGAUGCUGCAUUAGCAAUAACAUCAAUGGCUAUGUAUAUCUUGGGGUCUUCAAUAAUCUCACACAUCUAAAGGGUUUGAAUGUUGCAGAUCAAUUGAUUGGAGAUUGGCCAAUUUGUAAGAGAGAUAUGAUGGACAUGAAAAUUAUAGAGAGAAAAAAUAAAAAAAGAAGAAGAAAAGAUGAAUUCCAGCUGUGUGUUAUGAGUCUUCCGUACUGCUGUUUUUUCUGUCCCACAUCGGUUGUGAUCAUUCAGCAUUUCUGUCCUCAAAGAACCCUAGAUAACUGUAAAAUUGCUUUGUAAAUAAAAAAUAAAAGAAGCUAAAGAAAAUUACAUCACUAGGCACAAGCCGUGAAGAGAAUUGAUUAUCGAUUAGUAGACAAUUGAUAUGAAAGAAGCCUGCAGGUGUGAGUGAGUUUGCCAUUAAAAAAUACACUAAUUAAUAUUACGCCCUUGUCAAGUUCUAACACAAAAAAUUGAUAAUGCAACCAACAAAAGAAAUGUACAACAAAAUGCUAGACGAAGGCUCAAUGUAUCGACAAAUGGUAAGUAGUUAAUUGGAGUAUAUAUUAUCUCAAUUCAAUUAAGUUGACAACCUCACAUAGCAAUAAUCUUAUCGUAUUCCAACUUUUCAUUCAUAUCUUUACGUCUGUGUAUGUAUAUAUUUGGUUCAAUUUUUGUUAACCCUAAUUUUACAAUUUGAAGUAUAUGGUGGGAUUUGACUUUCAAUCAUUUUUCAAUUUAUAGAAAUGGUUUCAAAUGGAAUAAAGUUCGAAUUUAGAAACAAACCCAUGUUUGGAAUUUCAAUUUGCAAUCUGCUGUUAAUUGUCAAUUCGAAGAUCCAUUGUGUUGAAUCUUUCUCUAUAAAGAACUUUAGGUAUUUCUACUUUUUUUUUCUUGUUUGGGUAAAAUUAGAAAAGUGAAGAACUUUCCUCUCUCUCUCUCUCUCUUAAUAUUUUUUUUUUUUAUAUCAAUACUUAGCAUAUUUUGUAUGAAAUUCAUUUACAAAGUUUUGGGUUUUCAUGUAGGUAGCCAUAAAUUUUAUACCAAACUGCAUACAAUUGAUAUGUUCUUAAGAGUUAGGAAGUGUUGGAGGUUCAAACUUUUUCAUACGAACUUUGUUGUACUUUAGAAUUGGAAACUUUAUUAGGUAGUGAAAUUAAUACCCUAAUUAUGCUAGAAAGUUUCUCAAUCAAAUAUGAAGAAGACUUUUUUUUAGGGUAAUUGUAGCUUGGGUAACACUUUCAACAAUAGUAGUUAAGUGUAUAUCAAAGUUUUAAAAUGAUAGGUUUUACCAAUA